rnacentral:lncRNA from 1 species
ACAGGAACUCCCCCUAAAAAAUACUUAAGGACCCUUGUGCCUGCAGUGCCUGUGAGCAGGUGGUGCUCACAGUUAGCGGCUCAGGCUCCGGGCUCAGACCUCUGGGCUGUAAGUCCCACCAUUGACUCCUAACUAGUGUGUGUGGUUCCAGCCAGAGCCUCAUCUCCUCAACUGUAGGAUGAGGAUGAUUAUGCGCCCGCCUCACGGGGUCAUCACGGGGCUGGAAGGGCUAAUUCACGGCAGUCACGUCACCUGCCUGGGUAAAAGGCAGCACCUGCCUUGAAGGUGUCUCGGGGAAGCCGAGGGCAUGAAGCCCUCACAGAGGGUCUAGGACCAGGGCUGGGGCAACUGCCAGGCGUCUCUCUGGCUCUUUCCUCCACCCUUGGUGGCGUUUUCCUGCUGCUGCCUCUGCUUCUCAAUCCACACGUGGACAACGGCCCUCACUCAAGGCUCAGGGAAGCGUGGGCGUCCUGGGGCCUUUGCACAAAGAUGAGGAGGAGAUGGUGAUGACUGUGUGGUGGGUGGAGGGAGAAGUUUCCAGGAAAGAGGACCAAUAAUCCACCCAACACAGUGCAAAUCGAUAGUCAGACUGGCUGCGGAGGGGGGAGGGUUCAAGCUCAAGGAAGAGGAGGAAGUGUGCAGGUGGGUAAAAGCAUGGAGGCGUGAGAGAGACCGUGGGGCUGGAAAGGAGGAGUUCGGGGGCUGUAGGCAGGGGUGCGAGGGGGCAGGUAGGUCCAGUCGUGGUGGCCUGGCUGCUGGAGCUGCCCGGGACUUCACCAUGGGUGGGGUCAGAUGGGAGACCACGGGUCUGAGCCAGGAGACCGGCCCGGGUUCAAGAGGCAGUCUGGAGGCCCGGGAGCCGCACCAACCUCGGCGCUUCACCCCUCCCCCGCAGAUGCUGGGUGCGGAACCCCGGCGUGCACAGUGUCCUGGUCAUGGGCUAUGGUGGCCUCAUGUCCCUUUUCAACCUGGUGGUGCUGGUCUGGGCGCUGCGGGUCCUGCGCAGACUGCGGGUGCAGGAGAAGCCGCCGGGCCCCCGGGCCUGCCGGGACACGGUCACCGUGCUGGGCCUCACCGUGCUGCUGGGCACCACCUGGGCCUUGGCCUUCUUCUCCUUUGGCGUCUUCCUGCUGCCCCAGCUCUUCCUCUUCACCAUCUUCAACUCGUUCUACGGUUUCUUCCUCUUCCUGUGGUUCUGCUCCCAGAGGUGCCGCGCGGAGGCGGAGGCGGAGGCAGAGAUGGAGGCAUUCAGCUCCUCCCAGGCGAUGCAGUAAGCUGGGCUGUCUGGACCUCCUGGCCUGGAACCUGCGGCCUCUCUGACUGUCUGCAGCCUGAGGCUCCGGCUUCUGCCAGACAAGGUGGCAGGCUAGCUGCUGGACACCAGAGGCCACUGUCACCUCCAAGGGGGGCUUUUCCACCUCUACAGCUCCCCAGGCCCAGAGGGUAGGGGUUGCUCUGUCUCCCUUGGAAUUCUGCUCCGGGGCAG